AUUAUGGCUCAGGAUGAACGCUGGCGGUAUGCUUAACACAUGCAAGUCGAGCGGGAAUCUUAGGAUUCUAGUGGCGGACGGGUGAGUAACGCGUGAGAAUUUGGCUUCAGGUCGGGGACAACAGUUGGAAACGACUGCUAAUACCGGAUAUGCCGGAAGGUGAAAGAUUUAUUGCCUGAAGAUAAGCUCGCGUCUGAUUAGCUAGUUGGUGGGGUAAGAGCCUACCAAGGCGACGAUCAGUAGCUGGUCUGAGAGGAUGAUCAGCCACACUGGGACUGAGACACGGCCCAGACUCCUACGGGAGGCAGCAGUGGGGAAUUUUCCGCAAUGGGCGAAAGCCUGACGGAGCAAUACCGCGUGAGGGAGGAAGGCUCUUGGGUCGUAAACCUCUUUUCUCAGGGAAGAAAAAAAUGACGGUACCUGAGGAAUAAGCAUCGGCUAACUCCGUGCCAGCAGCCGCGGUAAUACGGAGGAUGCAAGCGUUAUCCGGAAUGAUUGGGCGUAAAGGGUCUGUAGGUGGUGCUGUAAGUCUGCUGUUAAAGAGUCACGCUCAACGCGAUAAAAGCGGUGGAAACUACAGGACUAGAGUGCGGUCGGGGCAGAAGGAAUUCCUGGUGUAGCGGUGAAAUGCGUAGAUAUCAGGAAGAACACCGGUGGCGAAAGCGUUCUGCUAGUCCGCAACUGACACUGAGGGACGAAAGCUAGGGGAGCGAAUGGGAUUAGAUACCCCAGUAGUCCUAGCCGUAAACGAUGGAUACUAGGCGUGGCUUGUAUCGACCCGAGCCGUGCCGGAGCUAACGCGUUAAGUAUCCCGCCUGGGGAGUACGCACGCAAGUGUGAAA
rnacentral:rRNA from 1 species